rnacentral:lncRNA from 1 species
GAAGGAGGAAGGUUUUGGGUGCCUGCCCCUGCCAGGAAAUUGCAGGCGCUGACUGCCAGCACAGGGGCGAAGGACCUGGCCGCGUCCCUCCCAGAGGAGGCACAGCGUCGGGGUGGUGGAAGGGCAGCUGCUUGAACACAGUCGCGAGAGCGCUGGGAAGCAGCUGUUGACCCGCUUUGACCAUGAAAGCCAUGUGUCCCUAUCCGCCUUUUUGCCUACAAUGUUCUGUUGCAGAGUUUGUGUUGGCAAUGGCGUUGGAGUACAGCUCACAUGAUAACAAUGUGGCAUAGGAGGAUCCUGGC